rnacentral:tRNA from 3 species
GGUGAGAUGUCCGAGUGGCUGAAGGAGCACGCCUGGAAAGCGUGUAUAGGUGAAUAGCCUAUCGCGGGUUCGAAUCCCGCUCUCACCGCCA